rnacentral:rRNA from 1 species
AUUGAACGCUGGCGGCAGGCCUAACACAUGCAAGUCGAGCGGAGCGGCGGACGGGUGAGGAAUGCCUAGGAAUCUGCCUAGUAGUGGGGGAUAACGUCCGGAAACGGGCGCUUAUAUCGCAUACUAUCAGAUGAGCCUAGGUCGGAUUAGCUAGUUGGUGGGGUAAAGGCCUACCAAGGCGACGAUCCGUAACUGGGCUGAGAGGGUGAUCAGUCACACUGGAACUGAGACACGGUCCAGACUCCUACGGGAGGCAGCAGUGGGGAAUAUUAGACAAUGGGCGAAAGCCUGAUCCAGCCAUGCCGCGUUUGUGAAGAAGGUCUUCGGAUUGUAAAGCACUGUAGGUUGAGAAGCGUUACCAACAGAAUAAGCACCGGCUAACUUCGUGCCAGCAGCCGCGGUAAUAC